UGAGUAUUAGGUUUUAUUUUUGAAGAUUUCACUAUAAAAAUACAUUUGUUGAUGGACAAAAUUCAUGAUAAAUCAAAAUCAAUUAUGGAUUAUUAUUAAGAAGAUUUUGCAUUAAUUAUUGACUAUCAAAAUUUGUUUGUAAUUAUUUAUUGAUAAUUAUCGAUUAAUAAAAGUUGGUAUUAAUUAUGGGCGAAUUUUAGCUGAUAGUAAAUAUCAUAAUUUACUAUUGUUGUUAAUUUUCUUUUUGUUCUUCUUUCGUCUUUCUUAAUUUUUUUUCCUCUCAUCCUUCUUCUUCUUCUCUUAUGUUGUCAUCCCCCUUAUCACCACCACUACAAUUACGGUGGAAUAUUUCUUUUUGUACUAUUUUGGUUAUUGUUAUUACUAUUGUCACCACCUCUUUUUCCUUCUUUUCU
rnacentral:lncRNA from 1 species